GACGUAGGGCGCGAGCGUUGUCCGGAUUUAUUGGGCGUAAAGAGCUCGUAGGCGGCUUGUCGCGUCGAAUGUGAAAUCUCAGGGCUCAACUCUGACAUUGCAUUCGAUACGGGCAGGCUAGAGUUCGGUAGGGGAGACUGGAAUUCCUGGUGUAGCGGUGAAAUGCGCAGAUAUCAGGAGGAACACCGGUGGCGAAGGCGGGACUCUGGGCCGAUACUGACGCUGAGGAGCGAAAGUGUGGGGAGCGAACAGG
rnacentral:rRNA from 1 species